GAAUGGAUAAGUCCAAGCCAUAUAUGGACGGCUCAAAUCUCGAAUGGAUAGCCUCUGUGACCAAAUGAGCCAAUUAAUGAUGAAGUUUCAAAGGCAAAAUGGCUAGAGUCUCUCCAGUAACAUGAAGAACAAUUCUCAAAGAGAUGAGAAGGAGAACGAAAAGGUGAUCACUUUGCAACUGGGCUAGGAGUUAGAAAUGCCCCAUAAGCCCAUCCAUGAAGAAGAGGUUCUCGAAACUGUUGACAAACCCAGAGAAGAGGAAGAAGUCAAGCACCACGAGCCAGUCGAGGAAGUAGAUGAACCAAUGUCUGAUUCGGUAAUCUCAAAUCCAAGCACAACAAGUGUAUCAUUCACGACAAAACUAGAGGAAGAGCAAAAGAAGUACAAGGUAGAUUUUUUAAUUUUUCUCAAUUUAUUUAAAUCCUUUAAUGUCAACUUGUCACUCCUUGAACUUAUCGUUAAAAUCCCUAAAUAUGCCAAGUACUUAAAAGAAAUAAUGGCACGACAUAAGAAAAUGAAAAAGGGCAAGCAAAUUGACAUUGAUGCCUUGUGUCGGACUUUAAUUGCUAAGAAGGUACCCCUAAAAUUGAAGGAUUUGGAUAGCUUAACAAUCCUAAUAGAGAUAGGGGAUCGACAUUUUAGCAAAGCACUUUGCGAUUUAGGGCUAUCAUAAAUUUAAUGUCUCUAUUGAUCUAUCACAAAACCAGACUCAGAGAUCUUAAAAAUACCUCAAUAAAGCUACAAUUAGUCGAUAGAUUCUUGGUACACCCAAAAGGUGUGCUCUAGGAUGUAUUGGUCAAGGUACGGGGAUUUAUAAUCCCCAUCGAUUUAGUUGUCCUCGAUUUUGAGGAAGAUCGAGAAAUUUCAAUUCUUUUGGGUAGACCAUUUAUGGCCACAUCUAGAUCAACCAUUGAUCUCAAAAUAAAUAAAUUAGUAAUUCAAAUCGAUGGCAAAAUAGAGGUGUUCAAAUGUGGUCAUGAUUCCUAAAGUGUGGGAUUAUUAGGGGAUGAACGUUACGUUUUAUUCGAUUUAACCCCUAACGACCUUAAUCAAAGUUGUUUUCCAAGUUGUGCAAGUGUAGGUAAGCGUAAUGCAAGAGAAAGAAAUAAAUGGAAAGAUCCCAGAAGAAAUGGAAUCGAUUAGAAUGACAACUAGGUCAAGAGCAACAAAUGAAUUUGAUAAUGAAGUUCAAGAAAUUUUUCGACAAGUCUGGUAGCACAACAUAGAUUUAACCCAUCAAAAUUUAAUUAAUUUGUAAAUAUUAUAUAUUAUUUUAUUUUUAUUUUUUAGAAUUAGAAAUUGGACUUGUUAUUUUGUGUUAGAAUUAGAAAGAAAUAGGUUUCCAAUAACAACAGAGGAGCUAGACGUUAGGGUGCAUAUACGGGUAAUCGAGGGCCUUCUACAAGUCUAAGAUAGGCCAAAUUGAAGCCAUGCUGUCACUUUACAAUCCCAUGAUAUGACACAGCCCCUUUGAGCUUAAAAAUGAAGAAUUUUAUCAUCGUGUCAUGCCAUGGCUUACCUAUGGCUCGACACACUCUUGAGUUCAGCAAAAACAAAGGACAAAAGAGAGUCGUGUCGUGCCAUGCCCCCUCUAUGGCGUGACAUGCUGGCCAAUUUUGGAAAAUUUUUGUUCUUGGUUCGACACGAUCUUUAGAGAUAUUCACCAAGGUUUCACAACAAGCAAAACCAUAAAUGGCUUCUAUAUAUUGCUCUUACCAGCUGCUACAACCUCCAAGCUAUCAUAACAAACCAACUUACCAUUCAUAACCUUUUUCUUCGGGAGUUCACGAAUUCCCUAUCAUUUUUUACUUCAAACUCACCUCAAAAUCAUGUAUAGAAUCCUUUUCAACAGUGAAUCUAUAGCGGAUAACCAUGCCACCAUUUGAGAAAGGAAACUUGACAAAAACUUUCGAGCGGUCCAACGAAAAUUACUUUUACAAGAAUGAGGUUUCAAUUCGCUAAGUGCAUUGCAAGGCGAGACACGAGAGUUGAUUCAAUUUCAUCGAUGGGAGAAGUUCAGUACAACCUUGACUAAUCUAGUGUACCUUCUGAUCGUGCACGCAUUUUAUGUCACGUUGAAGGAGGCGGAUGCGAAUAGAUCGAUGGAGAUACUGUGGAUGCGAAUAUUAGUCCGAGGGAAGGAAAUUUCUAUCUUGCCCCUCAAGAUAGCAAGGUAUUAUGAUAUUCCAUUAUACCUUAGUGAUUUUGUACAAUGCACGAAUUUAAUGUAUUUAUGAGAGAAAAUAUGGAAGAUAUACUUAAUCUCUUGACGGACGGGAAGGGUGAGUGGAAACAUCACUUAGGAACAAACUAUCCUAUGUCAUUCUCCUAGAGGAAGUUAAAUUCUAAGGUUUGAAUGUGGUUUAAAUUUAUCAGCACUUGAAUUUGCCCUACGACAGACAUGUCCAAUGUCGAUACUUUCCAGGCAAUAUUGUUGUGUGCAAUUUUAACGAAGUAAAGAGUUUGUGUGGGAACUUGGAUAUAUCAGAGCAUGCUCUAAUGUGCUAGGAAAAAUGAGAUGGAAUUAAUUUUCCCGCACUUAGUGACAGUCUUAUGCUGAUGAACGAAUGGGCCAGUGGGACAAUCAGGUCUUGUCUUACAACCAAUCGAGUUUCUGUUAUUGGAACUGAGUGUGAAGUAUCUUAUAGGGAAUAGGAAAAGAAAGAGAGCGAUAAAGACAAAACCACAUAUAGGCGAGAAUGUGCUACCUGAUUCAAAAUGGAUAGUUCGAUGGAUGCAAGAAGCUGGACUAAUUUUUUAAGAUCAUACAAAUAAAAUUGGGUUAAAUCUGCCACAAUUCCCAUGAACUAAGUACAAGUUAAAGACAUAACCGAGCAAGAUGAAGAAAGAGAAGGAAUUAGAAGAAGAGAAAUAUCCCGAAGAAGAUCCGGAGGAGUUGGAAGGUGAACCAAGCAAAGCGGAUAAAAUGUUGGAUCCUGAUUGAAACUAAUUUCAAACAAUUUCAUUAAUUUUCAUUUUUUUAGUUUGGAAUUUGUAUUUUGUUUUUGUUUAGGAUGAUUUUAAUUUUUUUACUUCUUAAUUAUUUAAGACUUUAAUAUUUUAUAUAUGUAGUGGUGGUUAGUUUUUCUUAGUAGGAACCCCAAAAUUUUGAAGGCACAACAAUAUAGAGUUAAAACUGAAAGGAGGAGUAGUUCCCAGCAAUUGUAUUGCAUGAGUCACGCCAGCCAAUAGGGUAAUCUCUUUCCUUUAUAUUUUUAUUUCACAUUAGGGACAAUGUGUUGAAUAAAUUAUGGAGGUGACUUAGGAAAAUUUUUAAUAUAUUCUGUUAUUUUAUUUUUCUAGUUUUUAGUAGUUUUUAAAUUUUUAUUUUUGCAUAUUCUUUUAUGUGCUUGAGCUUAUAGAAAUACAAGUGAUUGGUUAGGAGCAUGUUAAUAGGAAUUUGUGAAUAAAUUUCAAAUUUAGUUUGAUAAUAAUUGAUCCUAAAUUUUUAAUUUUAAAUUACUUACUUCAAUUUAUUACACUGUGAAUAGAUUCAAGAUGUUAAGUGUACCACAUGAUAAAUAGAUAUAUAAAUAGCAUGCAUGUUUAAUUGAGUUAUAUGUUGUAAAAAUUGAUAGACUUGGUCGAUUUAAUCCAUGUAUAGAAUUACUUAGGGACAACCUAAGACAUUAUUUGGUAAACAACUUUUUGACGCAAAAAGCUAUCCCGUAAAUAUUUUCUCUAGUACUUAUUUUGAGCCUGAAUCUAUUUUUUUGAUGAACCAUGAAUGAAACCUUAAGCCUAAAGAAUAUUCUAUUUAAUUCUUUAUUUCUUGGUCCUUGCACGGAUUUAAAUGUAUGAUUAUUGAUAUUAAGAGAUUAGGUAGAUACAUCACAGUGGUUUCAAAAGAAAAAAAAUGAGUGACUAAGGAAUUGUUUGAUAUAGUGAGUAUAAGAUUUAUUGAGCUUGUAGAAAAAUAAAACAAAAUUCCAAUCGAGAAAAUCUUGAUGAAAAAAAUAUAAAUACAAAGUGAGUUGGAAAAAAAGUACGCUUACAUUUGUUCCAAAAAAACAAUACGAGCUCGGAUGAUUGUACUCAUGAAUAUUAUACUAAGCCAUAGUAAUAGAGAAAUAAGGAAGGUGAGAGAAGUGGAUAUAAGGUGGCGAGUAUAUGUAUACGCAAGGGAGUAUCGAGGUCAAUAUAAUGUGCCAAACUACUUUUAUGCUUAGCUAUUUUGUCGAGCACGUUCUUUGAAUUCCAAACCAACCUAAGCCGCAGAACGUUACAAGCCGAAAAGUCCUAUAUAACCUAGGUAGUAUCUUAUAUGGAUGACAAUGGCCAUGUUUUGAUGUUUUUACCACAUGUAUUCAUUUGAACAUAAUUUUCUAUUUGUAUAUUUGUUUUGAUGGAAAUCUAUACUUAUCAUUCUUUUUUUUUUUGCUUUGUAAUUUUUUGAACUAACCCGUCUAAUUUUAGAAAUUGUGAGUCAAUUUUAUAUCAUGCUAGAAUUAUAUGUUUAUUUUCAUUAUCUUGUUAAUAUAUUUCUAUCCAGUUUUCUGUAUCAAGCUAGCUCAAGUACAUUUUCUUUUCUUUGAAUGUUUAUUUCUUGUUUUUAGUUUUUAUUUUGUUUUGUUUAGUUUGCUUAAAGACAAGCAAAGACUUAAGUGUGAGGGUAUUUGACCUGUCUUCAAAUGUAGUAGUAAUUUUGGUCUAUUUUCGCACUUAAGGAGCUUGUUUUCUAACCAAUUUAGUGUUUAGUAUUUUGUUUAUAGUAUCUAGUAGGUAGUAUGAAAAGUAAAUAAAAAGAAGUGUUUUAAACAAAAUUUGUGAGUGUUGUGACCUAUUAGACUGACACGAACCUUAGGUAGUGCUAAUGUGUUGAAUUGAGUGUGUAAGAUGAUAAAUUAUAGGCCCAAUUGACAUGAGAGUAAGGGACGAGUAAUGCACAAGCUUCUCACGCCAUCAAAGCAUGAAACGAACCAUACAAGGCAUAAAUUGACUAUCGUGUUGUGCCAUAGACCUUGUAUGACAUGACAUAGAUUGACGUGCUGCCCAAGUACAAUAAGAUUAUUUUUGUCCACACAAUCAACUUUAUACGAAGACUUAGGACGUGUCGAAGACCUAAUUUAGGUUGCCAACACUCCUACAAAUAAGACGUUAGAGGUUUGAUGUAACUAAGUUAUCUUAGACGCCUUCAAAAACCCUCGUAGUUAGGAGUAGGAUUAAACAAAGUUUUCUUUCCAUUUUCUUAAACAACUUUGUUCUUUCCUCUUGGAAUCAAUUUCGAUCCAAGAGUUCUUUUAUAAUCUUAGACACUUGGAGAGCCUUGUAGGAUUUGAUUAAUUAGUGGAAGCGUACGAGAGCGAGUAAUGAUUAGAGAUAAUCUUGAUUGAGAUAUAGAUGUGAGCUAUCUAUAAAUAGGAGGGCUUGAUAGUUGAUAGAAUAUUUCAUAUUCAUCUUAUUUACUAGACAUUGUUAUUAUCGAAGAAACCAGGUGAGUUCUUCUUUGUUAAUGAAGGUGUUGACUAUGAAAGCAUAAGAGAGAUUUUAUACUAGUUGUCUGCUGGUAAAUUCUUAAACCUUCUUUUAAGCUUUACCAGAUUAAUAGAAGCUAAUGCAAGAGAGGUUCAAUAGGAUUUCUUUGAAUACUGGAUAUGAAAGAAACUUCUAUCUAGAAAUUAUUUUCAUGUCUACAGAUUCUUGCUAUAUUGUAAAGUUUUGGUCAUUUUUUAUGUUUAAAAAAUUUGUUUUACUAUUUUAGCUAAAGAAUUGGGAGAAGGUCUAAUAUUAAAGGGAAGGAACCAACAAAGUAGACAAAGCUUUGAGUAAGAUAUUCUGGUGAGUUCCUCUAUACAUUGUGUCUGAUAUUUGCAUUAUCUUAUUUAAUCCUUAUCACUGUACACCCAGGAAAGUGGUUUUUUUCCUUUGUCUCAAGUGUUAAUGUCUAAGGAAGCAUAUUCAAAGAGACAUUGCAUACAAAGUUAUAUAUGAUUAAACAGACCCAGAAAACUUGGCAUAUACAUGGUAUGAGUACUACUUCCUUAGUGCAUAAAAUCAGUAUCUAGACAGGUGUAAGGAGGCAAUGGAGGGAUGUUGUCUAUAAUGAUAAAAAAAGACAUGGGAUAAAAUGUUUUGCCUCCGGUAUGACACUUUGGUGCAAAUUGUGAUUGGUGAAAACUCGACCUUGCGGGGUAACACAUAUGUGUUCAAACAAGGAGGGAAGUUAAGGGGAUACGAAGGUGAUGUCCAUUAAAUAGCUCUAACGAGUAGAUAUGAAGAUACAUGAAAAAUUAGUUCUUUGGAACAAGGAUCAAAAGUUAGCACAAUGAACGUAGUACAUAAGAAAAAGGGUACAUGUGAUAGUGCUCAUUGCAUAAAAAGUAAAAUAAGUCAGUCAGUCAUAAAAAGGGUAGUCACACAUAUAACGUAUCCACAGAGUAGUUGUGCUUGUGACCAUCAUGUAUGAGUUUAGAAACCAGUGUUGUCUGUUGGAAGGCUAAGUUUAUCGCGGUAGUAUCCGCUAAUUGAUUUAUGGAUCAGAUGGAUGUAUAUGCUGAAUAUGGUGAACUAGUCUAUCAGUUUGCGCCCUAUCUCUUAAUGCCUUAUAGUAAUGUUAGUGGGUUUUAUUUCCCCAAGAGCUUACUAAGUUGUCAUGAACUUACUCAGUUUUUUCUUACUUUUAGGUUCUUAGGUUGAGCGUGGUGAUUGAAGGGAUACAGCCAGAUCUUCUGCCAUUUGCGAGACUUCUUUUUUCGUAGGAACAUGUAUUUUUCGGGGGUAUUAGGACGUUGUUGGAUAUCGACGCUUUUAAAACCAUUAAUUUGUACUUGAAACGUUAUGUUGAAUACUGCCAAUGUUGAUUAGUAGCCUCAUUGGCUUAUCUUUAUUUGUGAUUUAUAAAUAUUGUUAAGUAGUCGCCAAAUGCUAUUUCUUGUAUCUUUAAAUCCUUAAGUGUGGCGGUAUACCAU
rnacentral:lncRNA from 1 species